GGCGGAUGUAGCCAAGUGGAUCAAGGCAGUGGAUUUGU
rnacentral:tRNA from 29 species